rnacentral:rRNA from 1 species
CCUACGGGGGGCAGCAGUGGGGAAUAUUGCACAAUGGGCGAAAGCCUGAUGCAGCGACGCCGCGUGAGUGAAGAAGUAUUUCGGUAUGUAAAGCUCUAUCAGCAGGGAAGAUAAUGACAGUACCUGACUAAGAAGCCCCGGCUAACUACGUGCCAGCAGCCGCGGUAAUACGUAGGGGGCAAGCGUUAUCCGGAUUUACUGGGUGUAAAGGGAGCGUAGGUGGCUAGGUAAGUCAGGUGUGAAAGCCCGGGGCUCAACCCCGGGAUUGCACUUGAAACUACUUAGCUAGAGUGCAGGAGAGGUAAGUGGAAUUCCUAGUGUAGCGGUGAAAUGCGUAGAUAUUAGGAGGAACACCAGUGGCGAAGGCGGCUUACUGGACUGUAACUGACACUGAGGCUCGAAAGCGUGGGGAGCAAACAGGAUUAGAUACCCGGGUAGUCC